UGUCAUAAGCCCAAGACAUGCCUAAACCCCUUCAAUCCCGCCUCAACUUCCGCGAUCAAUCGACCUCACGAAAGCCAGGGGACAAACUGGCAUUAGAUACCCCACUAUGCCUGGCUGUAAAUUCAAAUGCUUUCCCCACCCAAGCAUUCACCAGGGAAUUACGAGCAUAAACGCUUAGAACCCUAAGGACUUGGCAGUGUCCCAAACCCACCUAGAGGAGCCUGUUCUAUAACCUAUAACCCACACUACACCCAACUCCCCCUCGCCCUAAGCAGCCUAUAUACCGCCGUUGCCAGCUCACCUCCAUUGAGAGCUCAACAGUGAGCACAACAGCCUCACCCGCUAGACAGACAGGUCAAGGUAUAGCCAAUGGGGGGGAAGAAAUGGACUACAUUUUCUGACACAGACAACAACAGAAGAGGGCCUGAAAACCUACCUUCAGAAGGCGGACUUAGCUUGUCUUAAACUGGCCCUGGGACACGUACAUACUGCCUGUCACCCUCCUCGUAAGCAAACCCCCCCUCCAAUUAGGACUACAACCAGCCAAAGAGGAGGUAAGUCGUAACAAGGUAAGUGUACCAGAAGGUGCACUUAGCACAUCAAGAUG
rnacentral:ncRNA from 1 species